rnacentral:rRNA from 1 species
CCUACGGGCGGCAGCAGUGGGGAAUAUUGCACAAUGGGGGAAACCCUGAUGCAGCGACGCCGCGUGAGCGAUGACGUAUUUCGGUAUGUAAAGCUCUUUCAGCAGGGAAGAAAAUGACGGUACCUGACUAAGAAGCCCCGGCUAACUCCGUGCCAGCAGCCGCGGUAAUACGUAGGGGGCAAGCGUUAUCCGGAUUUACUGGGUGUUAAGGGAGCGUAGACGGCGGUGCAAGCCAGAUGUGAAAGCCUGGGGCUCAACCCCGGGACUGCAUUUGGAACUGUGCUGCUAGAGUGUCGGAGAGGCAGGCGGAAUUCCUAGUGUAGCGGUGAAAUGCGUAGAUAUUAGGAGGAACACCAGUGGCGAAGGCGGCCUGCUGGACGAUGACUGACGUUGAGGCUCGAAAGCGUGGGGAGCAAACAGGAUUAGAUACCCGUGUAGUC